AUUGAACGCUGGCGGCAGGCCUAACACAUGCAAGUCGAACGAGUGGCGGACGGGUGAGUAAUGUCUGGGAAACUGCCUGAUGGAGGGGGAUAACUACUGGAAACGGUAGCUAAUACCGCAUACCAUCAGAUGUGCCCAGAUGGGAUUAGCUAGUUGGUGGGGUAACGGCUCACCAAGGCGACGAUCCAUAGCUGGUCUGAGAGGAUGACCAGCCACACGGGAAGUAAGACACGGUAAAGACUCGUACGAGUGGGGGCAGUGGGGAAUAUUGCACAAUGGGCACAAGCCUGAUGCAGCCAUGCCGCGUGUAUGAGGAAGGCCGUCGGGUUGUAAAGUACUUUCAGCGGGGAGGCGUUACCCGGAGAAGAAGCGCCGGCUAACUCCGUGCCAGCAGCCGCGGUAAUAG
rnacentral:rRNA from 1 species